rnacentral:lncRNA from 1 species
UCUACAGAGUGAGUUCCAGGACAGCCAGGGCUACACAGAGAAACCCUGUCUUGAAAACAACAACAAUAACAAAAAAUUAAAAAAAUAACUUUCCGAAAGCAUUACUGUGUUAAAUAAAUUUACAUCAGGCAUGGUGGCUCAUACCUUUAAUCCCAGCACUUAGGAGGCAGAGGCAGGUAGAUUUACAAAUUAAGUUCCAGGACAGCCAAAGCUCUGUUGCAUAGAGAAACCAUGUCUUCAACCAUCCCCCAUCAACCCCCAAAAGAUAUAAAUUCUUUGAAGUUUUCCAUAAUUCAUACUAGUUUGCUUCCCUAAAAGGCUUGUAUGAGUGUUUGCCUAAUGCACUAGCAAGGCCAUUUCUCCCAUGCCCUCAAUAAAAUGGAAUGCUAUCUUAAAACAAAAUCCCAAACCAAAAGUUUUCCUAAUUUAAGCUGGCAGUAUUAUUUUAAAUUUCAUGCUUUUAAUUGCUAAUACGUUUUUAAAUGUUCAUGAUCGUUACUAAUUUUCCUCAUUAACUUUAUGCACUUAAGGUCUUUUCUGGGUGUUAAUCCCUUUAUCACUAGAAGUGUGUAAGACUCAAUAGUCUUCAGCAUAGACGGUAGACGAUGCCGCAGAGAGAGAAUGUAAGGGACAAACAGAGCAGAGGAGUCAGAGCUGAGUCCAGAAGGAAGGUGGUGACUCUCAAGCUGUGGUUGAUCGUCAAGAAAUGAGUAUGUAAGGCUCAGAAGGUGAAAAGAGGGAUUACUUCCCCUGACUUAAAAUUAACCAUUAUUAUGAAAUAGUUUUCUCAGUGUUUACUUAAGUAAUUCUAUGUUAUUGAGAAGUUUUCUAUAUUUUCUUGUGUUCUCAGCUAAAGUGACUGCAGUGUGUGUUUUCUAAAGUUUAGUGUCAUGUUUCACAGACUUGAAUGUGUUGAAUUGUUUUUAAAAGUUACAUAUUUAAAACAAAAGAAGCAUAAAGUCAUGCAUGUUUAUCUACUAGCUGCCUAAGGGCUGCCGGUGGUGGCAGUAAGGGAGAACACAGUUGAGGCAAAGCCCCUCCAGGACCCUUUCUCUGGUUGUGUACAUAAAACUGAUAGUUUCAACCACUGUAUGCUAUACCUAUGUCUGUCACUAGGUUUUCUAGUUAAGGCCACGUGAAGAACUGUGGUCUGUGGUAAAAGUUAAGUAUGUUGUUGGGUCAUGUCACUUGCACUUAGUCUCUCUGGUAGCCAGUCCCAUGCUUGGUUUAACUCAGUGUCCCACCAUUUGUGGUUCACAGAAUUAAGAAAUGGUAGGAUUUAGAAUACUACUUCCUUUGUUUAGAGUGGGAGGUUGGCAGUACAGGAGAGGAACCGGAGAACAAAAUGAUUCCUUCCAGAGCAGUUGCACCCGGUAAGUCUGCAGAGCAUUCCGAGUAGUACAGUGUGUGGCUGGAGCUGCUGAAGUAUUUAGAAAAGAACUGAAAAGGCUGGCAGCUCUGGUAACGCGUCCUAUAAUCAGUCCAGCACCAGGAAGGCAGAG